GAAGCGUCAACCCGGCACCGCACCAGCGGGUCAGACCGGAACCGUCCCACCGCAAGGCGGGACUACC
rnacentral:sRNA from 1 species